AAAAUCCGUCGACUUUAAAWWUCGUGAGGGUUCAAGUCCCUCUAUCCCCA
rnacentral:tRNA from 1 species